UGGGGAAUAUUGCACAAUGGGGGAAACCCUGAUGCAGCGACGCCGCGUGGAGGAAGAAGGUCUUCGGAUUGUAAACUCCUGUUGUUGGGGAAGAUAAUGACGGUACCCAACAAGGAAGUGACGGCUAACUACGUGCCAGCAGCCGCGGUAAAACGUAGGUCACAAGCGUUGUCCGGAAUUACUGGGUGUAAAGGGAGCGCAGGCGGGAAGACAAGUUGGAAGUGAAAUCUAUGGGCUCAACCCAUAAACUGCUUUCAAAACUGUUUUUCUUGAGUAGUGCAGAGGUAGGCGGAAUUCCCGGUGUAGCGGUGGAAUGCGUAGAUAUCGGGAGGAACACUAGUGGCGAAGGCGGCCUACUGGGCACCAACUGACGCUGAGGCUCGAAAGUGUGGGUAGCAAACAGGAUUAGAUACCCUGGUAGUCCACACCGUAAACGAUGAUUACUAGGUGUUGGAGGAUUGACCCCUUCAGUGCCGCAGUUAACACAAUAAGUAAUCCACCUGGGGAGUACGACCGCAAGGUUGAAACUCAAAGGAAUUGACGGGGGCCCGCACAAGCAGUGGAGUAUGUGGUUUAAUUCGACGCAACGCGAAGAACCUUACCAAGUCUUGACAUCCCUUGACAGGCAUAGAAAUAUGUAAUCUCUUCGGAGCAAGGAGACAGGUGGUGCAUGGUUGUCGUCAGCUCGUGUCGUGAGAUGUUGGGUUAAGUCCCGCAACGAGCGCAACCCUUAUGGUCAGUUACUACGCAAGAGGACUCUGGCCAGACUGCCGUUGACAAAACGGAGGAAGGUGGGGAUGACGUCAAAUCAUCAUGCCCUUUAUGACUUGGGCUACACACGUACUACAAUGGCGUUAAACAAAGAGAAGCAAGACCGCGAGGUGGAGCAAAACUCAGAAACAACGUCCCAGUUCGGACUGCAGGCUGCAACUCGCCUGCACGAAGUCGGAAUUGCUAGUAAUCGUGGAUCAGCAUGCCACGGUGAAUACGUUCCC
rnacentral:rRNA from 1 species